UACAGAGGAGCCAAGCGUUGUUCGGAUUUACUGGGCGUAAAGGGCGGGUAGGCGGCCACCGCAAGUCAGUUGUGAAAUCUCUGGGCUUAACCCAGAAAGGUCAACUGAUACUGCGGGGCUAGAGUGCAGAAGGGGCAACUGGAAUUCUCGGUGUAGCGGUGAAAUGCGUAGAUAUCGAGAGGAACACCUGCGGCGAAGGCGGGUUGCUGGGCUGACACUGACGCUGAACUGCGAAAGCUAGGGGAGCGAACGGG
rnacentral:rRNA from 1 species